rnacentral:rRNA from 1 species
UACGUAGGGGCCUAGCGUUGUCCGGAUUUAUUGGGCGUAAAGAGCUCGUAGGCGGUUCGGUAAGUCAGGUGUGAAAUCUCCACGCUCAACGUGAGGGGCCAUUCGAUACUGUCGUGACUCGAGUCCGGUAGGGGAGUGUGGAAUUCCCGGUGUAGCGGUGAAAUGCGUAGAUAUCGCCUGGAACGCCGAAGGUGAAGACAGGCUGCUGGGGGUGUACUGACGCUGAGACGCGAAAGCCAGGGGAGCGAACGGG